rnacentral:rRNA from 1 species
UACAGAGGUCUCAAGCGUUUGUUCGGAUUCAUUGGGCGUAAAGGGUGCGUAGGCGGCGCGGUAAGUCGGGUGUGAAAUCUCGGGGCUUAACUCCGAAAACUGCAUUCGAUACUACCGUGCUUGAGGACUGGAGAGGAGACUGGAAUUUACGGUGUAGCGGUGAAAUGCGUAGAUAUCGUAAGGAAGACCAGUGGCGAAGGCGGGUCUCUGGACAGUUCCUGACGCUGAGGCACGAAGGCCAGGGGGAGCAAAACGGGG